GGUGCCAACAGGGCAUAAAGGUGUGUCCACAGCCCGUGAAGUGCAGGUGACAAGAAUCAGAGGGAAAUGCCAGAGAGGUACUUAUUAAGCAGGGAUGGUAGACCAGCCAUUGUCUAAGCACUGAAUAUGCACCUCCAAGCAGACGUGGACCCUGCCUGUAAACCAAUAGCCAGGCCUAGCAGGGCCACAAAGCAGCAAGCGACUGAGGACUUGCUCAAGGGUGGCUGGUGCCGCUGAUUCCUGAAGGACAGACGAGAAUUUGCCAAGAGCAUGAGGCUGCGAAGGGCAUUCAGGCAGCGGGACAGCAGGAGCAAGGCUCAGAAGCAGAGGACUUCGUGAAACAGCAGAUCACUCACCUGGGCAAACCUGCUGACUAUGACUGGCUACUCACUCAUCCUUACCUGCUCAAAACCUUGGCUUGGUGUGGCCACAGUCCUGAACCAUUUUAUCAUAAAAGGCUGAUCCCAAUCGAGACCCUCACGUUAUAGGAUUCACCUUCAACCUGUCCUAAA